GGAAAGACAAAACUGCUGCAUCAGAUGCCCUGACUCACCAGGAGGAAAUUUCCCCUAGUUUGGGGUUAAAGGGAACAGCAAAGGAGCUGUGGGGCCAUGGCUGAGCUUUUGAUCUGGGAUCUGAAACGUGCUGCUGGUUGCUGAAGGUUUGGACCCAGCAGGCUGAACACCUUCCCCACGGACCACUGCUCCUGCCAGUACCCCCAGCCCUCCCAGUUAGCCAUGGGAUGCUCUGUGGGAUGCUUUGCUUCAAGACAAAUACCUGUGCCCUCCAGAUCUUUGGCUUGGAAGUGGGAACCACUGUGCUGGGGGAUGCGAUCUGGGAAUGGGAGACCUCAUUCCCAAGGAAUUUGCUCCUGUUACUUGGCUUCAAUUUUCCUCUGCUCAAUUUCUUCUCGUUGCACGCAGUUAUAUCCCUCCAUGCCACGUGGCAGCACUCUAACAGGUAUUUAUAACAUUCCUGAGUGAGCCAAUUGGUGUGUUUAACAUCCAUGCCAUGCCGUGAGGUAUUUUCAGCAUGCUCAGAUUUGUCAAGAUACAUCAGGGCUGAGAAGAGAAGGGUCAGUUGCGCUGGGAUUUGCACUCGCAGUCUGAUGGGAUCCUCUGCCCACCAUGUGUGUCCUUUGCCUGCAGGGCUGGCUGUCCCCAGAGCUCCUCUGGCUGUCACACUGCUCUGCUGCUGACAUGGGAAUGCGUUGGGAUCCAUGCUUUAAGUGUCAUUCCAGUGUUAGGAGGGAAGAGUUGUGGACAGUAGGCAGCGAGCCAUGGCAUGGUGCUUUCCAGGAGCAAAGCGCUCGGUCCAGGACUGCAGACCCAUUGACAGCAGCUGGGAACACAAUUGGGUUUUGCUGUGCUCGGCUGCUGCCCUUCAUCCUCCCAGACUUCACCUUUCUGCCCAGGGAGGCUGUGAGAGGGCUGACAAGGGAGGCCAAAACUCGGUGUAUUGCCUCGGAGCUGGGACCUGGAGGCUGGGGAUGCAGCUGCUCCAUCAUCACACUGCUGGAAAUGGGACUUUCAGACAUCUUGAAAUCAUUUUCCUUUAAAAAACAUAUAUAUAUACUAAGCUUGAAUUCACGUAUCACAGAGGCAAACAAGCAUUUGCAGGGCAAGAGGGAAACUGCAUGUGAUCUGAAGCCUCAUCUCAAUCUCAGUGACUUUGCAUUAAUUACAUGCCUGUGUUUUCCUGAAGCACGGUCUGAGGUUAGCUGUAAUAUCCUGCAGACAAACAUCCCCCUCUCCUCGUAUCUACAGAGAGCGGUAGCUCUGGACUACGUAUUUAUGGACAAACUGAGCUAUAAAUUGGGCAUUUCUGCCACACGCAUUCCCUUAAGGGCCAGUAAGACUGCACACAUCAGCUAAGUAAUAUUUUACUGGGGUUUUCUUUAAUGACUUCAAGAGUGCUUGUUCUUUCCCCCAACCAGCAGUGCGUGAUUAACGUAAGUCUACAAUUAAUCCUGAAUUACUCAUACAGUGGACUCCAUUUUCCUUUGCAUUCAGGACAAGUUUUAAAAAGUUAUUGCUUUCCCCCUCCUUUCUUUCUCUCUCUCUCUCUCUCUUUUUUUUUUUUUUUUUUUUAAGACUUCUUUAAUCAGACUUAAAUGGAGCUU
rnacentral:lncRNA from 7 species